rnacentral:rRNA from 1 species
CCCUUAGAUGUUCUGGGCUGCACGCGCGCUACACUGAAGCUAUCAACACGUUUUCCCUCCCUGAGAAGGGCGGGUAACCUUUUGAAUCAGCUUCGUGGUAGGGAUCGGGGCUUGCAAUUGUUCCCCGUGAACCAGGAAUUCCUAGUAAGCGCGAGUCAUCAGCUCGCGUUGAUUACGUCCCUGCCCUUUGUACACACCGCCCGUCGCUACUACCGAUUGAAUGGUUUAGUGAGGACUCCUGAUUGGCGCCGCCGCCCCGGCAACGGAGCAGCGGACUGCCGAAAAGUUGUUCAAACUUGAUCAUUUAGAGGAAGUAAAAGUCGUAACA